GUGAUGUCUGGACUGUGGAGAGAUCCAGAAUUAGCUGACAAAACUAUAAAGGAAAAGCUAAGAUAUGAAGGGAGACUACAGGAUGGUGGUGGUGAUGAAGGUGUGUGAUGUUUGGACUGUGGAGAGAUCCAGGAUUAGCUGACAAACCUGUUAAGACCUUCUAUUUAAUUCUUUUAGAUUGCCUUAAGUGUUAUUUUGAGUUGAGAUUGUAUUUAAGUUAUUCCGCACUUGUAUGUAGUUCACUUGUAUUAUUCGUGGAGUGAUGUAGUUGGUUGCUUACUAGAGUAGUUUCUUUCUUUUAC